CUAGGACCCUCAGCCCUGGACCUGUUACUAUGGUAGAUGCCAUUGACGUGGUGGGGUAACUUUUCUUGAGCAUUCUUCCUGCUCUGUGAUCUGUGCAAUGCCUCAAAGUCUCUGGCCCACUGUGCUUUGCUCUGCCGGGCCCCCAAAGGCCCUGACUCUGAAGUGGGAUUCAACUCCAGACACCAGGAUUGAGUGGCAAGUGCCUUUAUCCCUGCUUCAUCACUCUGGCCUAGUCGUGUGGUUUAUUAAAGCUCCCAAGAUGACUGGAAUGCAAUCAAGAUAGAAUGACU
rnacentral:lncRNA from 1 species